GCCAACGGCGGAAACCGCGUUGCCCGCGGUGCAGGUGGGCCCAGGGUCCGCGCGCGGGGCUGGGGUUAGGCCGCGCCCAGCGCCGCUCCGGGGCCAGACCGCGUCAGGUUCCAACCGGCGCUGGCGCCCGCGCCCGCGCCCGGACGCGGCAAGCAGCCUCCGGGCCUCCCGGGCUCCGGUUCUUGCCCCGGCCCCGCCCCGGAAGACGAGGCGGAAGUGGGCGGAGACGUUCGUCCCGCGCGGCUGAGAAAUGGAUCAAAGGUGCGUUUACCUGGCUCAUGGUUGUGCAGGCUGAGAACAUUGAGAUGGCGGCCACUCGAGGUGGGGCUCUGGAGAGACAGGCGUCCUAGCUCCAGCUCUCCUGCUCUUCCUACAAACCACAGUGCCAUUGGAUGUGGGCCACGCCCUCGCGGCCCCAUUGAACCCUAACCACCUCCCAGAGGUCCUGGCCUGGCUGCCACUUGGACUCAGCGGGAUUAAGGCUUCGGUCCUUCCCGGCUCUGAUGCCGCUCAGGCCUCCACUGUGAGCAGCCUCUGUCUUCCCACUCUGUGCUCUGACUCACGCGCAGGCAGAUGGUGCUGCAGCUGGAAGCUCUGCAGCCCACAGGAGCAGAAAAGCCAGCUGAGAGUGACACAGAUUGUGGAAUUUAAAACGGUGCUUAGUCCAUUUGGUUGGUUGGCUGAAAUAUGGAUCAGAAGAUGACCCGCUGUGACUGAGCUGCAGUUAAUCUUCAGAUUCAACACGAUACCUUAAAAAUCUCAAGAGAUCCCUUCAGUGCUACUUGACAAGCUGAUUGUAAAGUCUGUUCGGAGAAUCAAAGGGCUAAGCAUGGCCAAGGCACUUUGGAGAAGAGGGUGGGAGGACUUGCUUUACAGGAUUACUAAUUACAGAGCCACUGUAAUUAAGAUGGUGUGGUGAUGACACAGGACACACGGACAGACACUCGAGACAAGGAAAAGGUAGACGGAGGUCUGUGUGUAGAGAGUUGAUGGAGGACAGCAGUGGGUCAGCGGGCCAGUGUGAAAGUCUCCUCAGUUAUGGCAAUGGGGUUCUCAUGCCAGAAAAAACAACCUGACCCUUACUUCAUAAUGCGUGCACACGCACACACACACAUGCAUGCGCGCACACACACACACACACACACACACGCCUUUUGCCAGGUGGAUUAAGCUCGGGUGUAAAAGGAUAACCAUAUGCUUUUAGAAGCCAAUACUGAUAACUGUUCAUGUUUUUGAGCUAAAGAAAGAUUUCUUAGGAUAGAAACACACUAACCCCAAAGGAAAAGAUAUAUCACUUCCGUUUACACUAAAAUCUUGAUGAAAAAUCUCCAUUAAAAGAGGAAACAAUAAAGACACAAGGUAAGAGGUGAUAUUUGAAUUCCCUAUAACAAAGGACUUAGUCGAGAAUAUAAAAAGAGCCACCACAAAUCCAUACAUGAAGACAGAAAAUCUGAUAGAAAAUGUGGAUAAAACACAAAUAACAUUUCACAAAAGAUAUCCACAUGCCUAGUAACUAUAUGCCAAAGUGCUCAACUUGCUAUUGGGGAAUGCAAAUUAAAACUAAUGCGAUUGAGCUCACUACAGCUCACUAGCUGGCUAAAACUUAAAAGGAGUCAAUUUUAUCUAGUGUUGAGGAUUGUGUGGGAACUCUUCCUCAUCAAGGGAAUAUAAUAAAUUAAUGUAAAUAAUUUUGGA